rnacentral:ncRNA from 2 species
CCCACCGGGUCGACUUGCGGCCCGGUAAAGCGCGCCGGUAACGGGAAUGCAGUGCGCUCGGCCAUGCCGGGCAAAUCUGCAGCUGACCCUGCAACUGUAAGCGGUGAGCACGAUGUGCACGCGGAUCGGAGACGGUCUGCAGCCACUGGAUGGCCGGGCGAAUGCCGGGCCGCUGGGAAGGCGCCCAUCGUGUGACGACCCGCGAGCCAGGAGACCGACCGAUGCGUGUCGCUCUUG